ACAGACAGUGGUUUCGCUGCUGGCUUUUCUGCAUUGGUUGGAGACGGGGACGCUUCUCAUGCAUUCAGAAGCUGAAGAGAAGCUUGGAUUGGAUGCUUCAGAAUUUGGAUUGGAUGUUGAAGAUUAUCUUACAGGAUUAUGUUUCAUGUCAAAUGAAUUGCCUAGAUAUGUGGUGAAUCAGGUGACCGCCGGAGAUUACAAUUGCCCAA
rnacentral:misc_RNA from 1 species